rnacentral:rRNA from 1 species
GAUGAACGCUAGCUACAGGCUUAACACAUGCAAGUCGAGGGGAAACGGCAUUGAGUGCUUGCACUCUUUGGACGUCGACCGGCGCACGGGUGAGUAACGCGUAUCCAACCUUCCCAUUACUGUGGGAUAACCUGCCGAAAGGCAGACUAAUACCGCAUAGUCUUCGAUGACGGCAUCAGAUUUGAAGUAAAGAUUUAUCGGUAAUGGAUGGGGAUGCGUCUGAUUAGCUUGUUGGCGGGGUAACGGCCCACCAAGGCUACGAUCAGUAGGGGUUCUGAGAGGAAGGUCCCCCACAUUGGAACUGAGACACGGUCCAAACUCCUACGGGAGGCAGCAGUGAGGAAUAUUGGUCAAUGGACGGAAGUCUGAACCAGCCAAGUAGCGUGCAGGAUGACGGCCCUAUGGGUUGUAAACUGCUUUUGUAUGGGGAUAAAGUUAGGGACGUGUCCCUAUUUGCAGGUACCAUACGAAUAAGGACCGGCUAAUUCCGUGCCAGCAGCCGCGGUAAUACGGAAGGUCCAGGCGUUAUCCGGAUUUAUUGGGUUUAAAGGGAGCGUAGGCUGGAGAUUAAGUGUGUUGUGAAAUGUAGACGCUCAACGUCUGAAUUGCAGCGCAUACUGGUUUCCUUGAGUACGCACAACGUUGGCGGAAUUCGUCGUGUAGCGGUGAAAUGCUUAGAUAUGGCGAAGAACUCCGAUUGCGAAGGCAGCUGACGGGAGCGCAACUGACGCUUAAGCUCGAAGGUGCGGGUAUCAAACAGG